UACGGGGGGGGCAAGCGUUGUUCGGAAUUACUGGGCGUAAAGGGCUCGUAGGCGGCCAACUAAGUCAGACGUGAAAUCCCUCGGCUUAACCGGGGAACUGCAUCUGAUACUGGAUGGCUUGAGUUCGGGAGAGGGAUGCGGAAUUCCAGGUGUAGCGGUGAAAUGCGUAGAUAUCUGGAGGAACACCGGUGGCGAAGGCGGGUCCCUGGGCCGAUACUGACGCUGAGGAGCGAAAGCGUGGGGAGCGAACAGG
rnacentral:rRNA from 1 species